rnacentral:rRNA from 1 species
AACGCGAAGAACCUUACCAAGGCUUGACAUGUCGGAAGUAGCGACCCGAAAGGGGAGCGACCUGUUAAGUCAGGAGCCGUCACGGGUGCUGCAUGGCUGUCGUCAGCUCGUGCUGUGAGGUGUUAGGUUAAGUCCUGUAACGAGCGCAGCCCUUGUUGUCAGUUAAUUUCUCUGGCGAGACUGCCCCGCAAGACGGGGAGGAAGGGGAGGAUGACGUCAAGUCAGCAUGGCCCUUAUGCCUUGGGCUACACACACGCUACAAUGGGUGGUACAGAGGGCAGCAACGGAGCAAUCCAGAGCCAAUCCCAUAAAGCCAUCCUCAGUUCGGAUUGCAGGCUGAAACUCGCCUGCAUGAAGUUGGAGUUGCUAGUAACUGCAGGUCAGCAUACUGCGGUGAAUACGUUCUCGGGCCUUGUACACACCGCCCGUCACAUCACGAAAGUUGGUCGUACCCGAAGUCGCUGUGCUAACCCUUCGGGGGAGCAGGCGCCGAAGGUAUGGUUGAUGAUUGGGGGUGAAGUCGUAACAAGGUAACCUUAAUUAAAA